rnacentral:tRNA from 1 species
GCCUGGGUGGCUCAGUGGGUUAAGCACCUGACUUCGGCUCAGGUCACGAUCUCAUGGUACGUGGGUUUCAGUCCUGCGUCAGGCU